GAGGGUAUAGCUCAGUGGUAGAGCACAUGCUUAGCAUGCACGAAGUCCUGGGUUCAGUCCCCAGUACCUCUA
rnacentral:tRNA from 1 species